CUGGAGGGCAAGUCUGGUGCCAGCAGCCGCGGUAAUUCCAGCUCCAGUAGCAUGUCGUAAAGUUGUUGCGUUUAAAACGCUCGUAGUUGGAUCAUACAGUGGCGAACAGCUGAUGUGCGUUUACGGGCGUUGUAUUCAGCAGUGUGGUUUGAUCAGUUAAUUCUGGUCAGACUGUGCUGCUGUUGACCGAGACGUACGUUGUUUGCUGGUCGUUACUACUUGCACGCGGGAAUGGUGAUUGGCCUUUAGUGCGCUGGUCACUGUGUCUCGCGGAGUGUGCCUUGAAUAAAUCAGAGUGCUCAAAGCAGGCUGUUGCCUGAAUGAUACAGCAUGGAACGAACAAACGUGUAAAGUGCAUUGACGGGCCCGCUUGGGACUGUUAAUGCAUAUCACCAACCACCAUGACGGAUGUUGGUUUCCGUAAUGGGGUGAUGAUUAAAACGAGCGGUUGGGGACAUUGGUAUUUGGCCGCGAGAGGUGAAAUUCUUAGACCGGCCAAGGACUAACAAAAGCGAAGGCAUUUGUCAAGACCGUCUCGAUUGAUCAAGAACGAUAGUGGGAGGUUCGAAGACGAUCAGAUACCGUCCUAGUUCCCACUUUAAACUAUGCCGACCCGGGAUCAGUUUUGAGCUAAAAACAACGCUCGAGGUUGGUCCCCCUGGGAAACCUUAAGUUUUUGGGUUACGGGGGGAGUAUGGUCGCAAGGCUGAAACUUAAAGGAAUUGACGGAAGGGCACCACCAGGGGUGGAGCCUGCGGCUUAAUUUGACUCAACACGGGAAAACUCACCGGUUCCGGACGUUAAAAGGAUAGACAGACUGAUAGAUCUUUCUUGAUAUGAUGUGUGGUGGUGCAUGGCCGUUCUUAGUUCGUGGAGUGAUCUGUCUGAUCAAUUUCGAUAACGAGCGAGACUCGAAUCUCUAUUUACGAUGCAGAAUGUCUGGUUUAUGACCAGACCUAACUGCAUGUCUCGCCAGAAGGUUCGCUGGAUGACGAGAUGUGUGGUCAAAACUUCUGCAUUGUCUCGUGCAGCAAUGUACGGGACUGCAUAGAGAGACAACUGACUAUAAUUAUAAAAUCAGAGGAAGUCGAGCAAUAACAGGUCUGUGAUGCCCUUAGACGUACCGGGCUGCACGCGCGCUACAAUGAUAACGGCAACGAGUUAUCUGGGCCGAAAGGCUUGGGAAAUCUUGAAUCGUUAUCGUGAUGGGGAUUGUCCAUUGUAAGUUGGACAUGAAAUAGGAAUCCCUUGUACGUGCGCUUCAUCUAGAGCGCGCGGAAUGAGUCCCUGCCCUUUGUACACACCGC
rnacentral:rRNA from 1 species